GGUUUUCCUGGCUCAGAACGAACGCUGGCGGCAUGCCUAACACAUGCAAGUCGAACGAGAUCUUCGGGUCUAGUGGCGCACGGGUGCGUAACGCGUGGGAAUCUGCCCUUUGGUUCGGAAUAACAGUUGGAAACGACUGCUAAUACCGGAUGAUGACGAAAGUCCAAAGAUUUAUCGCCAGAGGAUGAGCCCGCGUAGGAUUAGCUAGUUGGUGUGGUAAAGGCGCACCAAGGCGACGAUCCUUAGCUGGUCUGAGAGGAUGAUCAGCCACACUGGGACUGAGACACGGCCCAGACUCCUACGGGAGGCAGCAGUGGGGAAUAUUGGACAAUGGGCGAAAGCCUGAUCCAGCAAUGCCGCGUGAGUGAUGAAGGCCUUAGGGUUGUAAAGCUCUUUUACCCGGGAUGAUAAUGACAGUACCGGGAGAAUAAGCUCCGGCUAACUCCGUGCCAGCAGCCGCGGUAAUACGGAGGGAGCUAGCGUUGUUCGGAAUUACUGGGCGUAAAGCGCACGUAGGCGGCUUUGUAAGUUAGAGGUGAAAGCCUGGAGCUCAACUCCAGAACUGCCUUUAAGACUGCAUCGCUUGAAUCCAGGAGAGGUGAGUGGAAUUCCGAGUGUAGAGGUGAAAUUGUGAUA
rnacentral:rRNA from 1 species